rnacentral:rRNA from 2 species
AAGCGGGGGAUAACACCUGGAAACAGAUGCUAAUACCGCAUAACAACUUGGACCGCAUGGUCCGAGUUUGAAAGAUGGCUUCGGCUAUCACUUUUGGAUGGUCCCGCGGCGUAUUAGCUAGAUGGUGGGGUAACGGCUCACCAUGGCAAUGAUACGUAGCCGACCUGAGAGGGUAAUCGGCCACAUUGGGACUGAGACACGGCCCAAACUCCUACGGGAGGCAGCAGUAGGGAAUCUUCCACAAUGGACGAAAGUCUGAUGGAGCAACGCCGCGUGAGUGAAGAAGGGUUUCGGCUCGUAAAACUCUGUUGUUAAAGAAGAACAUAUCUGAGAGUAACUGUUCAGGUAUUGACGGUAUUUAACCAGAAAGCCACGGCUAACUACGUGCCAGCAGCCGCGGUAAUACGUAGGUGGCAAGCGUUGUCCGGAUUUAUUGGGCGUAAAGCGAGCGCAGGCGGUUUUUUAAGUCUGAUGUGAAAGCCUUCGGCUCAACCGAAGAAGUGCAUCGGAAACUGGGAAACUUGAGUGCAGAAGAGGACAGUGGAACUCCAUGUGUAGCGGUGAAAUGCGUAGAUAUAUGGAAGAACACCAGUGGCGAAGGCGGCUGUCUGGUCUGUAACUGACGCUGAGGCUCGAAAGUAUGGGUAGCAAACAGGAUUAGAUACCCUGGUAGUCCAUACCGUAAACGAUGAAUGCUAAGUGUUGGAGGGUUUCCGCCCUUCAGUGCUGCAGCUAACGCAUUAAGCAUUCCGCCUGGGGAGUACGGCCGCAAGGCUGAAACUCAAAGGAAUUGACGGGGGCCCGCACAAGCGGUGGAGCAUGUGGUUUAAUUCGAAGCUACGCGAAGAACCUUACCAGGUCUUGACAUACUAUGCAAAUCUAAGAGAUUAGACGUUCCCUUCGGGGACAUGGAUACAGGUGGUGCAUGGUUGUCGUCAGCUCGUGUCGUGAGAUGUUGGGUUAAGUCCCGCAACGAGCGCAACCCUUAUUAUCAGUUGCCAGCAUUAAGUUGGGCACUCUGGUGAGACUGCCGGUGACAAACCGGAGGAAGGUGGGGAUGACGUCAAAUCAUCAUGCCCCUUAUGACCUGGGCUACACACGUGCUACAAUGGAUGGUACAACGAGUUGCGAACUCGCGAGAGUAAGCUAAUCUCUUAAAGCCAUUCUCAGUUCGGAUUGUAGGCUGCAACUCGCCUACAUGAAGUCGGAAUCGCUAGUAAUCGCGGAUCAGCAUGCCGCGGUGAAUACGUUCCCGGGCCUUGUACACACCGCCCGUCACACCAUGAGAGUUUGUAACACCCAAAGUCGGUGGG